UACGGGGGGGGGUAAGCGUUGUUCGGAAUUACUGGGCGUAAAGGGCUCGUAGGCGGCCAACUAAGUCAGACGUGAAAUCCCUCAGCUUAACUGGGGAACUGCGUCUGAUACUGGAUGGCUUGGAUCCGGGAGAGGGAUGCGGAAUUCCAGGUGUAGCGGUGAAAUGCGUAGAUAUCUGGAGGAACACCGGUGGCGAAGGCGGCAUCCUGGACCGACACUGACGCUGAGGAGCGAAAGCCAGGGGAGCAAACAGG
rnacentral:rRNA from 1 species